UACGAAGGGGGCUAGCGUUGCUCGGAAUCACUGGGCGUAAAGGGUGCGUAGGCGGGUCUUUAAGUCAGGGGUGAAAUCCUGGAGCUCAACUCCAGAACUGCCUUUGAUACUGAGGAUCUUGAGUUCGGGAGAGGUGAGUGGAACUGCGAGUGUAGAGGUGAAAUUCGUAGAUAUUCGCAAGAACACCAGUGGCGAAGGCGGCUCACUGGCCCGAAACUGACGCUCAUGCACGACAGCGUGGGGAUCAAACAGG
rnacentral:rRNA from 1 species